CUAAAACCAAGAGGAACACAAGAGCCAGGAAAGUGGGGUCCUGUUCUCAGCUCUACCACUUAGAAAAGGGCAGCCAGUAAGAAAUUUUCCCCUAAGUUGAAAAUGGAGAAAAAGAACAAAACCAACAACAAAAAACUCAAAACUUGGCCUGGCCACCAUGGAGCACGCUUCCAGGUUCCUGAUCCAGUCUCUUGAAUCCUGCCUCAGUUGGCCUCCUGCAUAAUCUGCCUGGCUCAUUCCUGCCACCCAGCCCGUAACUUCCACUGGAUCCUUACUCUUGCCUGUGUCUGGCCUCUGAUGGACUUACCUGGUGUCGACUCAUGACCUAUUUCUGAUGUUACCCAAAUGAGGCAUAUUACUACUGAGGAUAUCUAGUCUGAUUUAUUGCAGAUCACUGACUAAACUUUGAGCAUUGGAUUAAAGUUCCAUCUUCC
rnacentral:lncRNA from 1 species